UACGAAGGGGGGCUAGCGUUGUUCGGAAUUACUGGGCGUAAAAGCGCACGUAGGCGGAUAUUUAAGUCAGGGGGUGAAAUCCCGGGGCUCAACCCCGGAACUGCCUUUGAUACUGGGUAUCUCGAGUCCGAGAGAGGUGAGUGGAAUUCCGAGUGUAGAGGUGAAAUUCGUAGAUAUUCGGAGGAACACCAGUGGCGAAGGCGGCUCACUGGCUCGGUACUGACGCUGAGGUGCGAAAGCGUGGGGAGCAAACAGG
rnacentral:rRNA from 1 species